AUUGAACGCUGGCGGCAGGCCUAACACAUGCAAGUCGAGCGGAUGAAGGGAGCUUGCUCCUGGAUUCAGCGGCGGACGGGCGAGUAAUGCCUAGGAAUCUGCCUGGUAGUGGGGGAUAACGUCCGGAAACGGGCGCUAAUACCGCAUACGUCCUGAGGGAGAAAGUGGGGGAUCUUCGGACCUCACGCUAUCAGAUGAGCCUAGGUCGGAUUAGCUAGUUGGUGGGGUAAAGGCCUACCAAGGCGACGAUCCGUAACUGGUCUGAGAGGAUGAUCAGUCACACUGGAACUGAGACACGGUCCAGACUCCUACGGGAGGCAGCAGUAGGGAAUAUUGGACAAUGGGCGAAAGCCUGAUCCAGCCAUGCCGCGUGUGUGAAGAAGGUCUUCGGAUUGUAAAACACUUUAAGUUGGGAGGAAGGGCAGUAAGUUAAUACCUUGCUGUUUUGACGUUACCAACAGAAUAAGCACCGGCUAACUUCGUG
rnacentral:rRNA from 1 species